ensembl:lncRNA
GAGAAACAUACACGAGUCUGAGAUACUGAACAAAUCGAUACAGUUUGACGCGAGUCGUUAUAAAAUGUUAGCGCUGGGUAUAAUGUAAACCUGAGGACAGGGAUUAGCUGGUCUCAAGAAGCGGUCAAACAAUCUACAGACAAUAAACUCUACUGUAUUUUCAAAAGCGUAUUUCCUCUCAGACUAACACUGAAAAUUCGCAGUGUUUUCUGGCCAUUUUUUCUAACGAGAGCAUUUUGUUCCGAUUUUUUUCUAACAACAGAUUAGCGUCUUUUUUUUUUCUUUUUUUUUUCCUUUUGCUAAUCUGAUUGCGUUUACGUCAUAGCUCAUGCUUGAGCGUGAUUUGGAGUUGGUUCCAUCCGCCAGAUUUCUAGCUUUCACUAGAGAGGCUGGUUCUUCUCAUCACUAAACAUCACCCUGAACCACCUACAUUCACUGGAACACACCAUCUUUUCCUGUAGCUUGUUUACAUACUCGUGAAGGAACGUCUUUCCUCACCGCUAAUUUAUUUGGACUAACUUUCAAAGACGGGAUGUUGUGAACGUUUUCAUUCUGUUGACCACACUGUGCUCUGAAAAGGCCAGUGUUCAAAUUGGCUUUCUCUUUUAAAAAGGUACGUGUACACAGAAAUGCGCACGGCCAGUCAGAUGACACGUUUAAGAUUCCCGAAACUUGUGGCCUGCUAAGGAUACAAAAUGUACUAGAUGGGCUUCUGAGGAUACAGUUGAGGUCAUAAGUUUACGUACGCCUUGAAGAAUCUGCAAAAUGUUAAUCAUUAAACAAAUAAAUGAGAGAUUAUAACAAUGCAUGUUUUUUUUUUUUUUUAAAUGAUUGAGUCCUGCCCUGAAUAAGCUAUUCCACAUUACAGAUGUUUCCAUGUAGCCCACAAGACACAAUAAUAACUGAAUUUACACACAUGAACCCGUUCAAAAGUUUACACACGCUCGAUUAUUUAUACUGUGUGUCGUUACCUGGAUGAUCCACGACUGUGUUUACGUUCUGUACGAGUUCUUCAUGAGUUUCUUGUUUGUCCUGAGAAGUUAAACCACCCACUGUUCUUCAGAAAAAUCCUCAGGAUUCUGCAUGCAUCUUCUGCAUAAUUGAUUCCUUUCCAACAGCAACUAUAUGAUGUUGAGAUGCAGACAUGUGGGAAAGAGUCUAUAUCUAAAGGCCAUGACUUUAAAUGACAGGCCAGGAGACAUUACAGAGAGAGCGAGAGGGGGAACCGUUGUGCGUCAAGACAAUAAAAGCUGUGAUGCAGGGAUCAGUUUGGUUUUUGGCGAGUCUCCAUGGAAACACCGUUACAGCCAGCAUGACUAAGCAUCAGCAACCCCCCAAAAACCAGCAGUUGAUGAUGAACUGAUGCAGAAGCAGCCACCAGACUGGAACUGAUCAAAUCGUGCCCUCUGAUCCCGCAGCUGCAUUUACUGUCAGGUGUGUCUGCUCUCUUUGUGUUUAGUUCCACAUCCUUCAGAAGGUCCCUUGUGUGUGUUUCAGUGUUUCUAAGGCCCUGAUUAUAAAUCAUUCAUCACUGAAAGUGGAAACAGGGAACCUCUGUGACACCAGCAAACACACACCCUUCCUUUACAUGUGUGUGUUUGAAGGUCUGGUCAG